GUUUCCAGGGCUGCCUGGAGAGGGUUCCCUGCCCCUCACUGUGUGCCCCCCACAAAGACCUACUCGCCCAGUUUCCCGUGAUCACCUGGUAGGCCUUCGCGCCUAUCCGUUUGGAGGACAGCAGGAAGGGAGGCUGGCUGCCACCUGGUCACUCUCACGGACAAGUGUGUAAACCAAAGCUCAGAGAGUGAGAGAGACUGACCCAUUGAGACCAGUGAGUACCAGACCAGGAUUGGGAACUAGGUUAAGUUCCUCCACGAAGCUCUGGAAAUUCAUCAGUUCCCUGGGUCUUUUUUUCUGAGAAACAGAGGGGGAUAAAAGAGAUAUGUUAUGGCAAGAAAAGCAAGUUCUCUGCCACUAACCCAGACAGCUUAGCUGGGUCUGCGGUAGCCGGAAGUGUUUGCAAAACAGCAGGACACCCAGGCUGCACCAUCCAGGUCUCAGCAGGCCUGGUGGCCUGUGUCCCUCCAGGCACUGUGACCACUUGCACCUCCUCUGCAGUUCACGCUGGUGCAGACAAGGGACUGGUGGUGAAGCCAGACAGCGUCCUGGGGUCCAAAUCCCGGCUCUGCCUCUUCCAGCUGCGUGGCUAGCCUCAAUCUCCCCAUCUAGCACAAAGAGCCUUAUCCCUCCCUUGCUGGGAGUGGGGAGUGAGCAGGAUAUGGGGAGGGCCCCCUGUUCCCCCACCUCCCCUUCGCAGAGCCUGGCACACAAGGUGCUGUGGAUGAGCGAGGCUGGUCUUCCUGCCGGGGAAGGCACAGCCCGUCU